AAUUUCUCUUUCUCUCUCACUUUCCCUCACCCUUUCUACACUUUCCUUCUCUUCUCUCUCUAAAAAAAAAUCCUCUAACUUUCACACACUUUCCCAGAUAACCCAUCUUCAAACGCAGAAAAUUUUCCCUUAAGAAGUGGAUUUCCUUACCCCAAAAUCAAAUCUUCUUCACCAUUCAAUUGAAGAAACGGGUUCAAAGAUUUUCCCCAGAAAAUCUGAUCCCUCUCUCUCUCUUCCUGAAUGCUCCAACUUAUCCUCAAAUAGAAAGUGAUUCUCUAACAACUGAAAAAAAAAAAAAAAAAAAAAAUUUUCUUGGAAAUUCAGGAAAAGGGUUUGAAGAUUUUCUCGGGAAAGUGGAUUUCCUUACCCCAAAAACAUAUAGAUUCAUUUCUAAUCUCUCAAAUCUUCUUCACCAUUCAAUUGAAGAAACGGGUUCAAAGAUUUUCCCCAGAAAAUCUGAUCCCUCUCUCUCUCUUCCUGAACUUCCUGAAUGCUCUAAGUUAUCCUCAAAUAGAAAGUGGUUCUCAAACAACUGCAAAAAAAAUAAAAAAUAAAAAUAAAACACUUUUCUUGGAAAUUCAGGAAAAGGGUUUGAAGAUUUUCUCGGGAAAGUGAUUUCUAGAUUUGAAUUUUAAGAAAAGGCUAUGUGGAACAACAACAAGAUUUUUCCGGCAAGGGGGUUAAACAUGUUCAGGAUGUCCACCAGUAUAAUUCGUUCACUGAAAUGUUGGGGCCAGAGAGUCUUGCAAAGGUUCUUCCUGGAGUUGAAACCCUUGAAGAAGAUUCUUUUGAAUAAGUUCCUCCAUAUCCCUUAUACAAGUGUUUGGCAUCAGCUUUAUUAGAAUCAAUCAAUUCAAAAGCCUUUUGUAGGCCAGAUUGUGGUUUGAAGUUUAUCCCUGAAGGAAGCUCUUUGAAGCAGGAAGAAAAUGAAUGGCAAAAACUGGUUUUGGAUAAGCGAUCAAAAAUUGUGAAUCGACGACGAGGACUUGUCCAUUGACAUCAAUACGCUACUUGACAUACUUGGAGAAGAUCCUCAGCCUUCACAAUUACAGGUAGGUUCUUCAAUAUUUUUGCUCUCUAAAUUCUAUAAUUUGAU